ensembl:snRNA U6 U6 spliceosomal RNA
GUGCUCAUUUCCAUAGCACAUAUACUAAAACUGUAAUGAUACAGGAAAGAUUAGCACGCCCCCGUGUAAGAUUUGUGAUGCAUACCAUACUUUU